UACAGAGGUGGCAAGCGUUGUUCGGAAUUACUGGGCGUAAAGGGCGCGUAGGCGGUCUUGUAAGUCCUGUGUGAAAUCCCUCGGCUCAACUGAGGAACUGCACGGGAUACUGCGAGACUUGAGUUCGGGAGAGGGAAGCGGAAUUCCUGGUGUAGCGGUGAAAUGCGCAGAUAUCAGGAAGAACACCUAUGGCGAAGGCAGCUCUCUGGGACGGUACUGACGCUGAGACGCGAAAGCGUGGGGAGCGAACAGG
rnacentral:rRNA from 1 species